rnacentral:rRNA from 1 species
GACGUAGGGCGCGAGCGUUGUCCGGAUUUAUUGGGCGUAAAGAGCUCGUAGGCGGCUUGUCGCGUCGACUGUGAAAACCCGCGGCUCAACUGCGGGCCUGCAGCCGAUACGGGCAGGCUAGAGUUCGGUAGGGGAGACUGGAAUUCCUGGUGUAGCGGUGAAAUGCGUAGAUAUCGGGAGGAACACCAGUGGCGAAGGCGACUACCUGGCCUGUUCUUGACGCUGAGGCGCGAAAGCUAGGGGAGCAAACGGG